rnacentral:rRNA from 1 species
AUUGAACGCUGGCGGCAUGCCUUACACAUGCAAGUCGAACGGCAGCACGGGAGCUUGCUCCUGGUGGCGAGUGGCGAACGGGUGAGUAAUACAUCGGAACGUGCCCUGAAGUGGGGGAUAACGUAGCGAAAGUUACGCUAAUACCGCAUAUUCUGUGAGCAGGAAAGCAGGGGACCGCAAGGCCUUGUGCUUUAGGAGCGGCCGAUGUCGGAUUAGCUAGUUGGUGAGGUAAAGGCUCACCAAGGCGACGAUCCGUAGCGGGUCUGAGAGGAUGAUCCGCCACACUGGGACUGAGACACGGCCCAGACUCCUACGGGAGGCAGCAGUGGGGAAUUUUGGACAAUGGGCGCAAGCCUGAUCCAGCCAUGCCGCGUGAGUGAAGAAGGCCUUCGGGUUGUAAAGCUCUUUCGGUGGGGAAGAAAUUGCUUCGGCUAAUACCCGGAGUAGAUGACGGUACCCGCAUAAGAAGCACCGGCUAACUACGUG